rnacentral:rRNA from 1 species
GAUGAACGCUGGCGGCGUGCCUAAUACAUGCAAGUCGAGCGAACAGACGAGGAGCUUGCUCCUCUGACGUUAGCGGCGGACGGGUGAGUAACACGUGGAUAACCUACCUAUAAGACUGGGAUAACUUCGGGAAACCGGAGCUAAUACCGGAUAAUAUAUUGAACCGCAUGGUUCAAUAGUGAAAGACGGUUUUGCUGUCACUUAUAGAUGGAUCCGCGCCGCAUUAGCUAGUUGGUAAGGUAACGGCUUACCAAGGCAACGAUGCGUAGCCGACCUGAGAGGGUGAUCGGCCACACUGGAACUGAGACACGGUCCAGACUCCUACGGGAGGCAGCAGUAGGGAAUCUUCCGCAAUGGGCGAAAGCUUGACGGAGCAACGCCGCGUGAGUGAUGAAGGUCUUCGGAUCGUAAAACUCUGUUAUUAGGGAAGAACAAAUGUGUAAGUAACUAUGCACGUCUUGACGGUUCCUAAUCAGAAAGCCACGGCUAACUACG